rnacentral:snRNA from 1 species
AUCCCUUCUACGCCUUUUGGCUAAAAUCAAAGUGUAGUAUCUGUUCUUAUCAGCUUAUUUCUAUGUAUUUUUAUAUGUUUAACUGAUCUUGUCGUCCGAUAAAUCCAAUACAAAAUUAAAUUUGUCAGUUAAUCGAU